UGAAGGAUAGCUCAGUUGGUUGAGCAUGAGACUCUUAAUCUCAGGGUCAUGGGUUUGAGUCCCACGUCGGGCAAAA